GACACAGGAAGAUGAAACACUCAGAGAACUAAAAAUACUACUUCAAAUAUGACAGCCUGAAACUUAAUCAAAGCCUCCCUGGGACCAUGACACUCCUCUGUGAUACAGUCACACAUAGUCAAACAGGUGGGAAUGAAUGAUGAGGAUUUAUAAGGAUGAGUGAAGCUGGAACUUAAUUCUAGAUGACAUGACCAGCUGUGGAUGCUUUGGCUAAAAACAUGCAGGAGCAGGAGCCAAAGGUCUCCUCCUGAGCAUCAAACAGACAGAUGACAGGACAAAAUCCAACUUUCUGCUUCCUGAAGAUGACCUCUUCACUUUUCACGUAGAACAUUUGUUACUCCAGUGCUCAGCCCGUUUGUCAACUGUUGCAAGUCCUUCGUGUCACCGCACAUACGCACAAAAUGUUCCUCCCUAUGCAGCGUUACAGUAUUUCAUUUAGUCCACAUAGUUUGGACUGCUCAUGAUCCAGCAGGUUCCUGGUUAGGUUUUAAACCAAUACUUGCUGAUUUUUACCUGUGAGUCUUUGAAUUAACUAGAAAACAUUACUGCUCCUUUUUAAAAGCCUCCCUUGGUUUGGUUCCUGGCAAACUCUUUGUGAGCCCAGCCGGGGUUUGAGAUCUACAGCACACAUCCAGUUAGUAUAAAUGAGGCCUGGCAGUCACUGAUCAGCUACCCGUCUGUGUCAGUCCAAAAUAAAAACAACAAAAAAUAUUAACCAAGGGGGAAACUGUCAGAAUUGAUCGUUUAAGAUGGUCAUUUAUGCUUAGAAAUGUAUAAUCAUUUGUAUGCUGAUAAAAAUCAUAUCCUUAUUAGGUCUGAUAAGACUCUGUGUGCACUUGUGUACCAUGAGAUGAGAAGAAGCAACCUUGAUGUUAUAAUUUCCAUUAUAGCUGCAGGAACUAGACUGUGCUGUUCUUAAAAGUGCUUUAAAUGUGUGUUUGAGACACGACCUGUUGCAACUUCCUGUUUUUAUAGUUUAGCAAGACGCUUACUUCUGCUUGUCUGCAUACAGUGUAAGUUCAUUGAAAGGUUGUGUGUCUAUGUAUAGUAUGGCUGGAAACACACACACACAGAAUCCAGACACUGAUGUUGUUCAGAGAUGCCUGCUUAUGGAUGUCACGUGUAUUUGUAAUUGCAUAUUCAUGAACGAUUGCUUGCUGACAAUAAAAAGAACUGUAGCGAAGGACUCAGUCGAAGUUGGUUGAGUUCAGGUGAAGGAAUCUUUUCCUCAACUUUGACUGACUUGCG